GAUGAACGCUGGCGGCGUGCCUAAUACAUGCAAGUCGAGCGAACAGACGAGGAGCUUGCUCCUCUGACGUUAGCGGCGGACGGGUGAGUAACACGUGGAUAACCUACCUAUAAGACUGGGAUAACUUCGGGAAACCGGAGCUAAUACCGGAUAAUAUAUUGAACCGCAUGGUUCAAUAGUGAAAGACGGUUUUGCUGUCACUUAUAGAUGGAUCCGCGCCGCAUUAGCUAGUUGGUAAGGUAACGGCUUACCAAGGCAACGAUGCGUAGCCGACCUGAGAGGGUGAUCGGCCACACUGGAACUGAGACACGGUCCAGACUCCUCCGGGAGGCAGCAGUAGGGAAUCUUCCGCAAUGGGCGAAAGCCUGACGGAGCAACGCCGCGUGAGUGAUGAAGGUCUUCGGAUCGUAAAACUCUGUUAUUAGGGAAGAACAAAUGUGUAAGUAACUAUGCACGUCUUGACGGUACCUACUCAGAAAGCCACGGCUAACUACGUG
rnacentral:rRNA from 1 species